rnacentral:rRNA from 1 species
UACGAAGGGGGCUAGCGUUGCUCGGAAUUACUGGGCGUAAAGCGUGCGCAGGCGGUUAUGUAAGACAGGUGUGAAAUCCCCGGGCUUAACCUGGGAACUGCAUUUGUGACUGCAUAGCUAGAGGUACGGGUAGAGGGGGAUGGAAUUCCGCGUGUAGCAGUGAAAUGGCGUAGAUAUGCGGAGGAACACCGAUGGCGAAGGCAAUCCCCUGGACCUGGUACCUGACGCUCAUGCGACGAAAGCGUGGGGAGCAAACGAGG